rnacentral:misc_RNA from 1 species
AAGUCGUAACAAGGUUUCCGUAGGUGAACCUGCGGAAGGAUCAUUAGUAGUGUUUGAGCUUAAAAGUGAAGGCGCAAGCCUGAACUUUUAAGCGAGCGAGGGUGGAGGGUGGAGUGAAGUGGAGGUGUAUCACAUGGUACUACCAGCACCCACUCCCAUCCACACCCAGUCACGGGCGCUCGCAGGAGUGCCUUGUAACAAGUAAUUUACAUCUAAAUCAUACAAGCAAAACUUUUAACAAUGGAUCUCUGGGCUCCU